UGCAUAUGGCUAUCCUAACGGUCAUAAACAGCUAGUCAUUGAGUCUAAAUGGCUAGCAUACAGUUAGCUUUUCCACUUGCAAAAUAGUUAGAAACUGUCAAAUAACGGCUAGUUUCUCACCAAUAGUCAGAAACAGUCAAUUGGAGUUAUGACCAUGGACCAAAACGUCCAACUACCAUAACCUAUAUAAACUGAGCUUGAUCGGUUCAUUUCAUCACUAUAAACAACACGACUCACUAUCUCAUAUGAACCAGUAAAGAUUUAAUAGUUCUCUGGUCAAGCCAGCAAGGUUCAAUACGAACUUAAGCCAACAAGUCCACAAGAAACAGAUCAGUAUAGUGGUCUAAGCCAGUAACUUCUUUUUUGUUCUUCUAAUUGACUUAGAAAUUUUCCUUUAAGUUUAUCAUCUACCAGCAAUCUCAAUUAAUUUUGAGAAGUGACAAAUAAUGCUUUAAGGACAACGUGAUCAAACAUGUUUCAGUUAAUCCUUAAUAUUUUCAGUUUCUUUCCUUAUUUUUUACACAAAUUAUAAAUAUGUAAUUUGAGAGUAUCAAAUUCUCAACAAAUGCCACCUUAGAAGUGGUUUAUGAUGUCGUCUUAAACUUUCGAUGAAACUUGGGAACAAAUAGGGUUAUUAAUAGGUGUGGCCUGAGUUAAUUUUAAGCAUGGAGUGUGAACUCAUCUGACCGAGCUUGAAUUUUCUUGCUGCCCUAAAAAUAAUUUAAUAAAAAUUAUGACUCUGCUUAUGUUAACCUCAUUUGUGGGGUAUUCAACCCUACAAUAAGCUGAAUAAAAUAGUUGAUGAGGUGGAUUUCUCAAAAACAUCUCACGUGAAUCUUCCAACAUGGCACAAAUGGAGAUUUGAUUCAUUCAUCACUUGGAGAUCUGAUCCAUUCAUCAUGUGGAGCAUCAUAGCUCCGAGCGCACUGCUCAUGAUGAGUCUGGUACUUAAGAUGAGAAUUAAGUCUUCCUCCCUCAGGGAAGAAGGAAACAAAUUUAUUUUCUCUCCACAUACAGAGAAAGUGUGAGACGAUUGCAAAUUCUUCUAUUUGAGUAAAUUGUGCUAUUCCUGAGACUGCAAAUCAGCAGCUUUGCUUCGCCACAUUGCAUCAAUAUCCAAGGUUGCAUAUGUGUAUAACACUAUGGCAAAGUGUUAAUUGUCGUUUGGGUGCUUGGAUUUGAACCCUAAAUUCUACCUUUGAAUUUCAAACAUUAGCUAGGUUUUAGAUCUUGAAUUUUCAAUUGUAUUUGACGGUUUGGAUUUUCAAAAUCUAAGAAUUUAGAAAUUGUGUUUGGUAUAAUCUAACAUUUUAACUUUGAAGGUUUCUGAAAUUAUUAUUUUUAUAUAUUCACAUAAGAAUAAAUGUAAUGAAAUAAGUUAUCUCAAACAUUGUAACAAAUAUUUUUGACACAACAUAUGUAUAUAACAUACACAAAAAUCAUUAUUAUUAUUAUGAAUUUACUAUGAGCUAGCAUUUGGCUAAAGGGAGAAACUCCAAAUAUCAAGAAGCUGGUAAAAGUUCGUCUACUAAUUUUAUAAAUAAAAUAAAAUAUUAUAUCUCUUUCUGAGUGAUUAUCAAUUGUUUACCGUGUGUCACACGUAAUAAUUUCAUAAGCUUAUUUUCUAAUGCAUCAUCAUCAUGAUAUGAAUGCAAAUGAAAAUAUAAAAAUCGUUUGAAUGAGUGUGGAUAUCUUAAAGAGAGUAGAAAAUGAUAGUUGUAAUGGUUGGAAAAAAUUAACAAUCGUAAAUUUUAUAACUAGUCUUUUAUUCUGUUCUGUUUUGGUUUUUUUUUUUUUUUUUUUUUUUAUUUAUUUAUUUAUUUUUUUUAAAUUUAGAUUAAGGGGAUUUUUCCUCGAAUUGAAAUCCAUGGUUCUAGAGGUGCCAGAAUGACCCCGUUUUCAAAUCUUGAAUUUCAAUUUCCAAGUACUCCAAAAUCUUAGAUGAGACUGUACCUACAACUGCAAUAUGAGACACUACCUUAUAUUUCUAUUGGAUUUGCUUAAAAGUUAUAUUAUGAUAUUUGUAAUUUUUUAAAACAGUUAUAUUGUAAUAUUAUGGUUAUGGGUGGAUGGAUAUUUUUCUUUUUUUCAUUUUUACUAUUUAAUUAAUUAAUGUUGUUUAAAUUUCUUAGUAUAUUGUUGGGUAACUGCGUUCAUUCAUAACUUAGAUAUGUCAUCGGAAGAUGAUGCAUUGGCAGAUAUUUAGGAUUAUGAAGUCUAAGUUUACUCCCAGGAUGGUAAGAUAAAGUGAAAAUGUAAGUUGUGUGGAAAACAAUUUGUCAACAAAACAAACGGCUCAAAUUACAUUUGGCUUGUCGGGGAGGAGAUGCCGUACCGUGUAGCAAAUUUUCUCAGGAAGUUCGAGAUUUAUUUAGAGCGAUUCUCGACUCAAAUACAAAGACUUCCUACACCCCUCACCCUACAACUACAACCAACACAACUAACGAAAGAAUAUAUAAAAGUCUAUUAUAAAUGAAGAAGGGUUAAGCAGAGGAACUGCCUCUGGUUCCAGGCCUUCCACAAUUACUAGAGAAGAAUGAU